AUCAGCGUUAUACAGCUGAACUCUUUGUUUAGCUCUUCCUAGAGGAAUCUGGAAAUCUGUUUGUGCUCUUCAGAGGCGUUUCUGACCACUAGAAACUUCCAUAGAACUUUCCACAGAGCUUUGUCAAAGGUAUCCAGCACAAAUGAACAGAAGUUUCUGAUGUAUGCAUAUCUUACAAUGGAGUACCAUGGAUGGAGUUGGUUCUGUAAUCUUUUAAAACCACCUCAACUCUCAUACUUACCUUGGAUCAGCCAUCCCACCUUGAGGAUUUUAGAGGAUAUUUUCAAAGUGUCUUCUCUUUAUCACCACCCAAUGUUGUGUUACCUAGUGAGAAGCAUGUUGAACAUGGAGACUCUCACUCAUCAGAGAUGACAGUUGGGUUCUCGGGGCUGUGCUGUGCGCUGCUGGCUAUGGACACUGAGAGGGCAACACCUGCUCCUCUGCAGCUAACCUCCUUCCAGGAUACAGAAAGACAUCACAGACAACCCCCUCCUUUUCUUUCCUCUUACCAGACAGUCUUGCUCACUGACCCAAUCCACAUCUUCUGCUCUGUGGUCUCCAGAUCCUCACUGACCUGACCAAGAACACUGACUUACACAACUGCCAACACCUCAAGAACCAUCUGUAUUUCUGUUUCUCUCCCCAUCUCCGUCUCUCUUCAGAUCGCUGUGUGUGCAAUGCCCAAUUUCUUUUUAAACAGAGUGUGAGUUAAGCUGUGCCUCUAUAUUUUGGCAAAGAUAAAUGGGAAAGAGGUUAGAUGAACAUGUCUAAUUCUAGGAUGUCUGAUAUCAACUGAAUUUAGGAGGAAAAAAAUAAUGAUUUAGGAUCACAAGAAAAACAACUUUUUAUUAAUUGUGACAAACUCCAUUGUGUGGAUAUGUGAGCUUUGAGAUCGGUAAACUGCUCAUUUAAACAAUUGUGUAUAAUAUUUAGCAAUAUAAUUUACUUGGUUUUAUGCUAUAUCAAUUUACUGACAUGAAAUCUGGAUUAUUUUGCUUUUACAUAAAAUGUUAAUUUAAUUUUCUCUAAACAACACAUUUUAAUAGCAAUUUCACUGAUGUUUAGACAAGAAUAAAAACAUCAUGAAAUAUAUAACAUGUACAUAUAAAAAUAAGAAAAUGGCAAUGAAAAACCAAGCCUGUCUCCUCACUUGUAGUAGUUCUAUUAGUUCAUUGCUGCACUCACACUGCUCUGUCAUUUGAGUCUGUUACACCAGUAAACUGCCUUGUUACCCCUGUG